UUAUAAGAGACAGCAGCCGCCGCGGUAAUACGAAGGGGGCUAGCGUUGUUCGGAAUUACUGGGCGUAAAGCGCACGUAGGCGGAUACUUAAGUUAGGGGUGAAAUCCCAGGGCUCAACCCUGGAACUGCCUUUAAUACUGGGUAUCUUGAGUUCGAGAGAGGUAAGUGGAAUUCCGAGUGUAGAGGUGAAAUUCGUAGAUAUUCGGAGGAACACCAGUGGCGAAGGCGGCUUACUGGCUCGAUACUGACGCUGAGGUGCGAGAGCGUGGGGAGCAAACAGGAUUAGAUACCCGCGUAGUCCCUGUCUCUUAUAC
rnacentral:rRNA from 1 species